CAGUCCAGUGCUUAUUCCACUCCACCAAAACACCUUAUUUUCUCCAUCUCUUUUAACAGGUGUACUGAAGCCCUACACUUACCUUCUGUAGCCCUGAGGCUGUUCACUGGAAGAGGGAUGGAAAUCUUCCACUUAAAAGACCUGGAGAAAGAUGAACUGGCAUAUGUGUCCUGUGAAGAAUAGCGGAACAACCCUAAAGUGAUCAUCACUGAACAGAAAAAAAGCAACUCCUCCUCAAUCAUUUAUCCUCAGAA
rnacentral:lncRNA from 1 species